rnacentral:tRNA from 1 species
GCCCUCGUAGCUCAGUGGAUAGAGCAGCGGUUUCCUAAACCGUUGGCCGGCAGUUCGACUCUGCCCGAGGGCACCA